rnacentral:rRNA from 1 species
AACGCGAAGAACCUUACCUGGGUUUGACAUCUCCUGACAGCCGUAGAGAUACGGUUUCUUACGCAAGUAAGCAGGAAGACAGGUGCUGCAUGGCUGUCGUCAGCUCGUGUGGUGACAUGUUGGGUUAAGUCCCGCAACGAGCGCAACCCUUGUCUUUAGUUGCCAGCAUUCAGUUGGGCACUCUAAAGAGACUGCCGUGGUUAACACGGAGGAAGGUGGGGAUGACGUCAAGUCCUCAUGGCCUUUAUAUCCAGGGCGACACACGUGAUACAAUGGACGGUACAGAGGGAAGCGAAACCGCGAGGUGGAGCCAAUCUCAAAAAGCCGUUCUCAGUUCGGAUUGGAGUCUGCAACUCGACUCCAUGAAGUUGGAAUCGCUAGUAAUCGCGGAUCAGCACGCCGCGGUGAAUACGUUCCCGGGCCUUGUA